rnacentral:rRNA from 1 species
AGAGUUUGAUCAUGGCUCAGGAUAAACGCUGGCGGCGUGCAUGAGACACGCAAGUCGAACGAACGAGCUUGCUCGUUAGUGGCGGACGGCUGAGUAACGCGUAGGUGACCUGCCCCGAAGUGGGGGAUAACUGCCCGAAAGGGUGGCUAAUACCGCAUGUGGCGACGUGUUCGUUCACGUCAUCAAAGCCGCGAGGCGCUUCGGGAGGGGCCCGCGUUCGAUUAGCUCGUUGGUGGGGUAACGGCUCACCAAGGCGACGAUCGAUAGGUGGUCUGAGAGGACGAUCACCCAGACUGGGACUGAGACACGGCCCAGACUCCUACGGGGGGCAGCAGUCGGGAAUUUUGCUCAAUGGGGGAAACCCUGAAGCAGCAACGCCGCGUGCGGGAUGAAGGCCUUCGGGUUGUAAACCGCUUUUACCAGGGACGAUAAUGACGGUACCUGAUGAAUAAGUCACGGCUAACUACGUGCCAGCAGCCGCGGUAAUACGUAGGUGACCAGCGUUGUCCGGAUUUACUGGGCGUAAAGAGCGCGCAGGCGGUCGUUCAAGUCGAGUGUGAAAGCCCCCGGCUCAACUGGGGAGGGUCAUUCGAUACUGAUCGACUCGAAGGCAGGAGAGGGAAGCGGAAUUCCCGGUGUAGUGGUGAAAUGCGUAGAUAUCGGGAGGAACACCAGUGGCGAAGGCGGCUUCCUGGCCUGUUCUUGACGCUGAGGCGCGAAAGCUAGGGGAGCAAACGGGAUUAGAUACCCCGGUAGUCCUAGCCGUAAACGAUGGACACUAGGUGUUGGUGGUAUCAACCCCACCAGUGCCGAAGCUAACGCAUUAAGUGUCCCGCCUGGGGAGUACGGCCGCAAGGCUAAAACUCAAAUGAAUUGACGG